rnacentral:RNase_P_RNA from 1 species
CGAGUCAGCUAAACAGUCGCUGUUAUCAUUCGUGGUAAUGGAGGAAAGUCCGGGCUCCAUAGGACAGGGUGCCAGGUAACGCCUGGGCGGCGCGUUAAGCGUCGACGGCCAGUGCAACAGAAAGUAAACCGCCGCAGCUUGUCUGCUGGUAAGGGUGAAAGGGUGCGGUAAGAGCGCACCGCGUUGCUGGUAACAGUAAUGGCACGGUAAACCCCACUCGGAGCAAGGCCAAAUAGGAACUCACGCCCUUUGGGCACGCGUGGUCCGCGCGAGAGUUCGGGUAGGCUGCAUGAGGUUGUUGGCGACAGCAAUCCUAGAUAGAUGACUGUUCACGACAGAACCCGGCUUAUCGGCUGACUCACUUU